UACGUAGGGCGCAAGCGUUGUCCGGAAUUAUUGGGCGUAAAGAGCUCGCAGGCGGUCUGUCGCGUCUGUUGUGAAAACUCGAGGCUCAACCUCGGACUUGCAGUGGAUACGGGCAGACUAGAGUGCGGUAGAGGAGAGUGGAAUUCCUGGUGUAGCGGUGGAAUGCGCAGAUAUCAGGAGGAACACCGAUGGCGAAGGCAGGUCUCUGGGCCGCAACUGACGCUGAGGAGCGAAAGCGUGGGGAGCGAACAGG
rnacentral:rRNA from 1 species